rnacentral:rRNA from 1 species
CGCUUUCACUCCUACGGGGAGGCAGCAGUAGGGAAUCUUCCACAAUGGGCGCAAGCCUGAUGGAGCAACACCGCGUGAGUGAAGAAGGGUUUCGGCUCGUAAAGCUCUGUUGUUAAAGAAGAACACGUAUGAGAGUAACUGUUCAUACGUUGACGGUAUUUAACCAGAAAGUCACGGCUAACUACGUGCCAGCAGCCGCGGUAAUACGUAGGUGGCAAGCGUUAUCCGGAUUUAUUGGGCGUAAAGAGAGUGCAGGCGGUUUUCUAAGUCUGAUGUGAAAGCCUUCGGCUUAACCGGAGAAGUGCAUCGGAAACUGGAUAACUUGAGUGCAGAAGAGGGUAGUGGAACUCCAUGUGUAGCGGUGGAAUGCGUAGAUAUAUGGAAGAACACCAGUGGCGAAGGCGGCUACCUGGUCUGCAACUGACGCUGAGACUCGAAAGCAUGGGUAGCGAACAGGAUUAGAUACCCUGGUAG